AACGAACGCUGGCGGCAGGCUUAACACAUGCAAGUCGAACGGGUGUCGCAAGACAUCAGUGGCAGACGGGUGAGUAACACGUGGGAACCUUCCUAGGGGUACGGAACAACUCAGGGAAACUUGAGCUAAUACCGUAUACGUCCGUAAGGAGAAAGAUUCAUCGCCCCUAGACGGGCCCGCGUCGGAUUAGGUAGUUGGUGGGGUAACGGCCUACCAAGCCUACGAUCCGUAGCUGAUCUGAGAGGAUGAUCAGCCACACUGGGACUGAGACACGGCCCAGACUCCUACGGGAGGCAGCAGUGGGGAAUCUUGGACAAUGGGCGCAAGCCUGAUCCAGCCAUGCCGCGUGAGUGAAGAAGGCCUUAGGGUUGUAAAGCUCUUUUACCAGGACGAUAAUGACGGUACCUGGAGAAUAAGCCCUGG
rnacentral:rRNA from 1 species